rnacentral:rRNA from 1 species
GACGAACGCUGGCGGCGUGCCUAAUACAUGCAAGUCGAGCGGACUUGAUGAGAAGCUUGCUUCUCUGAGAGUUAGCGGCGGACGGGUGAGUAACACGUAGGCAACCUGCCUGUAAGACUGGGAUAACUACCGGAAACGGUAGCUAAUACCGGAUAGGUGAUUUUCUCGCAUGAGGAAGUCAAGAAAGACGGAGUAAUCUGUCACUUACGGAGGGGCCUGCGGCGCAUUAGCUAGUUGGUGAGGUAAUGGCUCACCAAGGCGACGAUGCGUAGCCGACCUGAGAGGGUGAACGGCCACACUGGGACUGAGACACGGCCCAGACUCCUACGGGAGGCAGCAGUAGGGAAUCUUCCGCAAUGGACGAAAGUCUGACGGAGCAACGCCGCGUGAGUGAUGAAGGUUUUCGGAUCGUAAAGCUCUGUUGCCAGGGAAGAACGUCUUAGAGAGUAACUGCUCUAAGAGUGACGGUACCUGAAAAGAAAGCCCCGGCUAACUACGUGCCAGCCGCCGCCGUAA